GUAUGACUCUCGGCAACGGAUAUCUCGGCUCUCGCAUCGAUGAAGAACGUAGCGAAAUGCGAUACUUGGUGUGAAUUGCAGAAUCCCGCGAACCAUCGAGUCUUUGAACGCAAGUUGCGCCCGAGGCCAUUCGGUCGAGGGCACGCCUGCCUGGGCGUCACG
rnacentral:rRNA from 1 species